AGAUUUGGUGCUGGCAAGACAGCGUAGUAGGAGGAGUGCAAAAGCCAUGCCCCAGUGGGGAAAGUGGUAAGGACCUGAGCUGAUGUCGGUCUCCUCCAAUGAAGCAACUCCACACCAAGACCUGUUGGCUCAGACAGCUGGUUUUCAUCACUGCAUAGAACUCCACACAAACCAUGAGCCCCAACACUGUUAUGUCAUCUUCACCACCACUCCAUCUCACUCAGG